GAUGAAGAACGUAGCGAAAUGCGAUAAGUAAUGUGUAUUGCAGAAUUCAGUGAAUCAUCGAAUCUUUGAACGCACCUUGCGCUCCCUGGUAUUCCGGGAGCACGCCUGUUCGAGUGUCGCGAAAUUCUUCAAGCCUUGGAUGGAUUUUUUUUUGUCUGUCCUUGGGCUUGGUUGUUGGGCUCUGCCGUGUCCUUCAUUGGGACGGCUGGCCUUAAAAGCAUUAGCCGAUCCUCGUGUGGUACUGGUUCUACUCAGCGUGAUAACAAUCUGAUCGUUGAGGACAUCUUCUGGAUGGCCAGUCAUCAUUUGGGUUGCUUCUAAACCGGUUUCGCAGAUUGCUCAAUCUGUGUGCCACUUUUCAGCUUUGACCUCGAAUCAGGUGGGACUACCCGCUGAACUUAAGCAUAUCAAUAAGCGGAGGA
rnacentral:misc_RNA from 1 species